AGGACGAACGCUGGCGGCGUGCUUAACACAUGCAAGUCGAGCGGUAAGGCCUUUCGGGGUACACGAGCGGCGAACGGGCGAGUAGCACGUGGGUGAUCUGCCCUGCACUUCGGGAUAAGCCUGGGAAACUGGGUCUAAUACCGGAUAUGACCUCCUAUCGCAUGGUGGGUGGUGGAAAGAUUUAUCGGUGCAGGAUGGGCCCCGCGGCCUAUCAGCUUGUUGGGUGGGUAAUGGACCUACCAAGGCGACGACGGGUAGCCGACUGAGAGGGUGACCGGCCACACUGGGACUGGGACACGGCCCAGACCUCCGUACGGGAGGCAGCGAGUAGGGGAAUAUUGCAAC
rnacentral:rRNA from 1 species